rnacentral:lncRNA from 1 species
UUGAUUCAAUAGAUUAGGUAUGGAGAUGGAAGACGCUUCUCACCACCAUUAUCUCUCCUUAUUAUUAAAUUAAUUAGGGAACGUCCUCUAAUCAAUUACUAAUUAACAAAUUGCCAAGGAACGUCCUUGGGGCAUAGGCAUCAAAACAAUUGUCAAUUGCAUUAAGAAAUAGAGAGAUCCAAUCCUAGCUACCCAAACGUAUGGAGACAACGCUAGAUCAUGCAACUUCCUUGGUUUUUAUGCCAAGUGUUCUUAUGUAAGAAUAACCUAAGCAAUUACGGACUUAAAUCAUUCAAACUAACAAAUAAUUAUUUUGCAAUUAAAAAUCAACGUAGAUCUCAAUAAUAAAAUAAUAUAAAAAUUAAGUAUGAAAUUGCAUGAAUAUUAAACACCCAAAAGUUAAACAAUAUUUGAUCAAGUCUCACAACCCAUUAAACAACUAAAGCUUCAGCCAAUUAUCCAACUAGAUUAAAGAAAUCAACCACUCAUGGCUGAAUUAAAAACAGAAAAUAAAAGGAAAAAUAAAAGAGGAAGAAGGAACCAAAGGAUGGAGGCGGAGAGCUCCUUGCGCCGGGUUGCGAAAAUUGCCGAAUUUAGAAUUGAAAUUGUGUCUUGUCUUUGGCCGCUUAAGGUUCUUUAAAUAAGUGCAGAGGAGCCCUAAAUGCUGUCCAUGCACGCGGUUUCAUGUGUGAAGUGUGCGUGCCCCACGUGCGCGAUCACUUGGUUGUGAGUGUGGCUGUCCGUGUGUUGGAGUUGAGCUUGGUCCACGUGAAGAGUUUUGAAGCUGGCCCAUGUGCGUGAAUGAUGUUGAGGAAGUGUGCUGGCCCAUGUGAAGAGCUUGGAAGCGGGAGCGCUUCGGCCGGUCCAUGCGCGCGAAGAUUGGUGAAGGCGGGCCAUGUGCGUGAAGAUUGUGCUUUGGCGGGGCCCACGUGCGUGAAGGUUGGUGAAGGCGGGCCAUUUGCGCGUUGGUGAGGUGGAAGCAUGCCUUGGGCGGGCCCGUGUGCGUGAAUUGGGGAAGUGCAGGUCCAUGGGCUGUCCAUGUGUCUAAGUUGCUUGAUUUGGAUCCAAUUUGAUAGGCUUGCUCUCUUUUGCUCCAAAUAAGGCAGUUUUAGGGGCAUUUUCUCCAGAUUGUCCUUUUACACCAUUUUCUGCAAAAUAAUAUUAAAAGCAAUAAAUUAAGCAGAAAUCAUGUAAAUAUUUAUCAAUAAUAUUAAUAUAAAAUGGACUAAUUUAUGCUCUAUCAAAUACCCCCACACUUAGCCUUUUGCUUGUCCUCAAGCAAAUAAACAUAGUCAAACAAGCUUUAUUUGCUCUAGAUCCUUAUUUUCACUUAAGCUCUUACUCAAGACACCUAUUUUGAAGCAUUGUAGUGAAGAAUAUAUGCGUGAAGAUUACUCACCUUCCUUCCUUGUUUCUCUUUACUCACCAUGGCUAGGAUUUGUUUUGCUCAAGAGAGACCAUACAUGCACAUUUUUGUUAAGACUUUUUCUAGCUUUCAGAGUGACUUACCCUUACCUUGAAGUACUUUAUUCAGGCUUUUGCACUUAGAUUUUGCUUGAAAAAGUCACCAACCUUUUGAUGUGAAGGUACAUAUUUGUGAUACCCACCCCCAGUUACUCAGUUGGUCAUCUUUUCAAGUGGCUACUAGCUCUGUUCUUAGCCUUUUGACCAUUGGAACAAUUCUUUUACUUUGUGAUUUUGAGGUCUUUGCCUUUGCUGAAUUUUGUUUCUCUCAAUGAUUUGGGCAAAUCAACACCAAUUGCUAAAUCAAGUCACAUUAAGUUCAUUCACACAACUUUUAAUUUAUUCUCAUCAAUUGAGGGUCAUCAAUAUAUUUUUCACUAUUGGCAAGCUCAAAGAUUCAAUUCAAAAGGAAAUUCUCAAACAUGAAUAUAACUCACUGCAAUUGAUUCAACAUAAGUUUAAAGAGUUAUCUCAUCAAUGGGGUCAUGGAAAGAAAAGCUCAUCCAACAUAGUUCAUCAGUUUGAGUAGAGCAAAACAAAAAGAAGAAGGUUAUGGUUGUGCGUGUUUUAUUGAAAGCAAAAAUAAAAAAUUUUCAGACUGUGGCUAAUUAAACUGAAAGAAACGCAAAAUGCAAAAAACUGAAAGGGAAAUUUCUCAAAUCUGAAAGAGAAGGGAGGAGAAGAGGAAAAGAAGAGGAGAAGGAGAGAAGAAGAGAGAUAUGCACCCCCACACUUAAAUCAUGCAUUGUCCUCAAUGUAAAAGAAAAGAAAAGAACAAAGGAAUCUGAAUACUCCCCUGGGGUGUGGUGCACAUGGUGUGAUCCUCUUAGGCAGAAUGAGUGACGAACAAAUGUUCGUCUGGGAAGGCUUCCUCAACUGGACAAGGCGCAGAACUGGAUGGAAGCCGACUAAGGUGAUCAGCCACAAGAUUUUCCUUACCUUUUUUGUCUCUUAUCUCUAGAUCAAAUUCUUGUAGGAGAAGAAUCCACCGAAUUAGUCUCAGUUUUGCUUCCUUUUUCUUGAUCAGAUAUCGCAGAGCUGCAUGGUCAGAAUAGACAAUGACUUUGGUGCCCAAGAGGUAAGGUCUGAAUUUUUCUAAAGCGAAUACAACUACCAAGAGCUCUUUUUCAGUUGUUGUGUAGUUGCUUUGUGCAGCAUCUAGUGUGCGAGAGGCAUAGUGAAUGGCGUGGGGUGAGUUUCCCACACGUUGUCCCAAGACUGCUCCUACUGCAUAAUUGCUUGCAUCACACAUGAUUUCAAAGGGCAAGCUCCAGUCAGGUCCCUGAAUGAUUGGGGUAGUCACAAGCAAUUCUUUAAUCAAAUCAAAUGCCUUUUUACAAUCUGCAUCAAAAUCAAAUGUUACAUCCUGUUGGAGCAAUCUGCAUAAUGGCAAAGUAAUUUUUGAGAAAUCUUUGAUGAAUCUUCUAUAGAAUCCUGCAUGGCCAAGGAAUGACCGAAUUUCUCUAACAUUAGUGGGGUAAGGCAGAUUUUUAAUGGUAUCCACCUUAGCCUUGUCCACUUCAAUGCCCUUAGCUGAAACAACAUGUCCUAAGACCAUACCUUGAUUAACCAUAAAAGGACAUUUUUCAUAAUUAAGCACAAGGUUAGUCUCAAUGCAUCUUUGUAAGAUCUUUUCCAAGUUGGCAAGGCAUUCCUCAAAAGAGUUACCAUGCACUGUGAAAUCAUCCAUGAACACUUCAAUUGUCUUACCCACAUAAUCAGAAAAUAUACUCAUCAUGCGUCGCUGAAAGGUGGCAGGUGCAUUGCAUAGUCCAAAUGGCAUUCUCCUAAAGGCAAAAGUGCCAAAAGGACAAGUGAAGGUGGUCUUCUCUUGGUCCUCAGGAGCAACUGGAAUCUGAUAAAAACCUGAAUAACCAUCAAGACAACAGUAAUGGGACUUACCUACAAGUCUUUCUAGCAUUUGAUCAAUGAAGGGAAGAGGGAAGUGGUCUUUCCUUGUUACAACAUUGAGCUUCCUAUAGUCCAUGCAUACCCUCCAUCCAUUUUGAACUCUCGUGGGAACAAGUUCCCCUUCAGCAUUUGGGACAAUGGCAAUUCCAGUUUUCUUUGGAACUACAUGCACCGGACUCACCCAUUUGCUAUCAGAGAUAGGGUAGAUAAUACCUGCAUCAAGGAGCUUGACUAUUUCUUUCUUCACUACUUCCAUCAUAGGUGGAUUCAGUCUUCUUUGAGCAUCUCUGACUGGCUUGCAUUCAUCCUCCAUGUGUAUUCUAUGCAUGCAUGUGGAAGGAGAAAUACCUUUUAUGUCAUCUAUUGUAAUACCCGGCUAGAUUCCGGCAUCGGAAUCUCUACCUUCCGGCGGAAUCUCCGUUGGAAUCUGGAGUUUCGGGGAUGCCAGAGGCUUUUAGAGGGGUAAAAUGUGUUUUCUCAAAUGUCUUUACUGAUUUUUGGGUUUAAAUGGAAAAGAAUUGAGUUUUGAAAAGGAAGAGACCAAGGAGACAUUUGCCAGGUUCGGCCGCCGAAAGUGAAGUUCGGCCGCCGAACAUGGAAAGGCUUCGGGAGCGCCUUUGGCCUCCGAAAGUCUUGUUUGNNNNNNNNNNNNNNNNNNNNNNNNNNNNNNNNNNNNNNNNNNNNNNNNNNNNNNNNNNNNNNNNNNNNNNNNNNNNNNNNNNNNNNNNNNNNNNNNNNNNNNNNNNNNNNNNNNNNNNNNNNNNNNNNNNNNNNNNNNNNNNNNNNNNNNNNNNNNNNNNNNNNNNNNNNNNNNNNNNNNNNNNNNNNNNNNNNNNNNNNNNNNNNNNNNNNNNNNNNNNNNNNNNNNNNNNNNNNNNNNNNNNNNNNNNNNNNNNNNNNNNNNNNNNNNNNNNNNNNNNNNNNNNNNNNNNNNNNNNNNNNNNNNNNNNNNNNNNNNNNNNNNNNNNNNNNNNNNNNNNNNNNNNNNNNNNNNNNNNNNNNNACAACCCUCGAUCUUCAAGAGGUAAGUGUAGAUCCUUGCUUCCCUAGUGUUUUUAUGAAGUUUUAUGAAGGUUUUGAUGGUUGAGUAUGGGUAGAUAUGCAUGUUAGGAUUUAUGUGGGUUUUAUGCCCAAUGUAUGAUUAUAUGUGUUUAUGUGAUGAUAUGUUGUUAGUUUAUGCUCCUUUAUGCAUGUGGGAGUGAGUAUGCAUGAUUGGGAAAGAGUAUGUGAGGAUUUGGGUUGUUUUGAUGGUUUUGGUCUAUGUGGGUCAUAAGCUAUCUAUGUAUGUUUUGUUGUUGUUUUUGGAGUUUAAUCAAGCUAUUAAGCUCCUUUGUGCAUGGCUAAGGGUUUAUGCAUGUUUUGGUAAGGUUGGGUGCUUGUUUUGGGGUGUUUGGAAGGUUUGGGAGGCUCAAAUGCAUGAGAAGCUGAGUUUUGCCCUUCUGGGAAGAACUCAGGUUCGGCCGCCGAAAGUGGCUUCGGCCGCCAAACCUGCCUUUGGAUGCAUGGAUUGGCUGCCUAACCUUGCCCCCGAAAGUUGAGCUUUGGCUUGAAAGCAGACUUUCGGCCGCCGAAGGAAGGAUUCGGUCGCCGAAAGUGCCUGACUUUCGUCUCUGGAGUGGGACUUUCGACCGCCGAAGGUGCCGCCGAAAGUGCCCGAGUUUCGUCUCUGGAGGGAGGGUUCGGCCGCCGAAGGCGCCGCCGAAAGUGCCCUGUCCAGCCUUUUCAAGGUUGUUUUCUAUGCAUGUUUAAGUGAUGUUUUAGGGGGUUUUUGGAGGUAUGUUUAUGAGUUGUUUAGAGUGUGUUGGCACCUCAUUCGAGUCCACCUGUGUAGGAUCGGACCCGAGGGACCGAGGAGGCCAGUAGUGCUAGCAGUUGCAGAGUCAGUCAGCAUCUGCCAGGAGGUGAGUAGAACUAAACUUAAUUUUUAUUUUAUGAAAUCAAAUGCCUAGAGCAUGUUCAUACAUCAUGUUUAUAUGUAAUAGGUUGAUUGCACUAGUUACACGAAUAUGAAGCAUUGCAUUAUUUACUGUUAAUGGAGAUUGGACCAAGGACGACCCCACUAGCCCUAUGGAUAAGACCUGGCUGGGCCAGGCAUUACGAAGUCCUGUGGUGCCCUCUAUGGUGGCCGGGCAAAUAGCUUAGGGAUGUUUCGGGGUUGGGUCCAAUCCGUGAUAUGACUUGUUUGUGCUGUGACGCAUUUCAUAAAUGCAUGUAAUUAAUGAAUUGUUUUCCUUGUUUCUACUCACUGGGCUUUUUAGCUCACCCCUCUCCCCUAACCCCAGUUUUGCAGGACCAGAGCUAAGUUAAGCCAGAGUAAGUCAGAGUAAGCUAUGGGGAAGGAAGAGUGAUGCAUGGUUUGCUGUGUUUUGAUGUAAUAGUAUAGCUUAGUGUAUGUAUAUGGUAAGUAGCUGGAUAUAAAGAGAUGUAUGCCUGUAUGCUUGUUUACUUGAAUAGUAUAGUGGUGGACAUGAUGUAUAUAAAGGAUAUGAUAUGAUGAUGUAUGUAAAGUUAUGUUUAUGGAUUAGUACUGUGCUUGACCCUGAGACUCGGUUAGUCCCUGUUUAAUACAUGAUGUAUGUAAUGUUUUAGGAUGUUGAGUUGUGUUUGAACUAAUCUUGUGGCAUGUGUUGUUUACCACGCUAUGGUAAUUGAUGAGGGCCCUGCAGGAGGUCUUAUGUUUGUGGUUUGAUGCAUGCACAGGUUAGGUUCUAGUUCCUUGGAUAUAAUCCCAGCUUGAUGUAUGUUAUGUUGACCCAGCUAGAGUUUUGAUGAGGGCUCUAGUAGGGGAUCCUUUUAUGUUUUCAGCUAUGUUGCAUACAGGUCAAGCUCGGUCUAUACAUCUUAUGUUUCAGUUUUUAUGUUAAAGUUUUCAUCAUGUAGGGGAUUUGACCAGGUGAUAGGAGGUAUGUUUGGCUUGCUACGGGUCCCGGCGGCCUUAAGCCGAUCUGGAUCCUAGCGCCGGUGGCGAUACGGGCCGUUACGGUAGGGUAUCGGUUUCCGGGCUGUUACAUCUAUGGUCCAUCCUAUGGCUUCUUUGUGUUUCUGGAGUACUUUCAGGAGGCUUGCUUCUUCAUGUAGGUUCAAUUCAUUGGACACUAUUACUGGUAUGUCUUAUCAGUUCCCAAGUACAUGUAUUUCAGAUGUCCUGGAAGAGGCUUCAGAUUUGAAGAGUGUUGCAAAGGUGUUUGCGCAGAGGUGGUUUCAGAAAUCUCCUUUUGUGCAAGGUUUGACUGCAAAGGAGAACUAGAAGAGCUUGCUUGCAUUGGAGACUGCAAGGGUGCGCAUGAAGGUGUCUCAGUUUGCGCAAUGCCCUUCUGCGCAUUCUUCUGAAGAGGUGCUUCAGAGGUUCCUUCAUUCCGUGCUUGACUGCAAACUAUCUGUUGGAUGCUACAGACUGUUUCCUUAAGUUUUGGCUCUUUCUGUACCUGAUCAGUAUCUCUGCAGAAAUCACUAUUAAGAAUAUCAUCUUGAUUUUCAUAAAAAAUUUCCUGGCUCAAGCAGUCAACAAUAUCAAGACCAUAAACAGGGGACAUAUCGUGUGGAUAUUUCAUAGAAUCAUAGACAUUAUAUUUAAUAACUUCCCCUUCAAAUUCCAUGGUCAAAGUACCAUCAUGCACAUCAAUUUUAGUCCUAGCAGUACUCAAGAAGGGACGUCCAAGAAGUAUAUCAGAACUAGUAUUGCAACUAUCUUCCUUUGUAUCAAUCACAUAAAAAUCAGCAGGAAAGACUAGUUCAUCUACUUGUACUAACACAUCUUCUAGAACUCCUAUGGGAUAUACCACGGAUCUAUCAGCUAGUUGUAUCACUACUCUUGUGUCUUUCAGUGCACAUGCAUUCAGAGAUUUAUAGAUGGAGAGAGGCAUGACAUUUAUGGAUGCACCAAGAUCACACAUAGCUUUCUUUAUACCAACAUUUCCAAUUUUGCAAGAGAUAGCAAACAUACCUUUAUCCUUGCAUUUAGUAGGGAGUUCUCUUUUGAUAACAGCAGUAACUACUUCACCUACACUUACUUUUUCUCUUUAAGCAAGCUUUCUUCUAUUGGUGCAAAGCUCUUUCAGAAAUUUUGCGUACCUUGAAAUUUGCUUGAUAGCAUCUAGCAGUGGUAUGUUGAUCUCUACUUUUCUGAAAGUCUCAAGGAUCUCCUUUUCUUCUUUUUCUUUUUGCGUUCUUUUAAAUAUUUUUGGAAAAGGAGGUGGAAUGUGAAAACUUACUUUUGGAUUAGUCUUGUGCGCAGGAGGUGGUUCGGAUUGCAUGGGAUCUUGCGCAACUCGUGUAGGCUUUAGUGGAGGUUGUUUUUCUUCCUCAUAUCUUGCAUCUUGAAGCUUUUUUCCACUUUCAAAGUAAUAGCACUAACAUUCUGUCUGGGAUUAGUUUCAGUUUGAGAAGGGAGCUUACCUUGGGAUUCAGAUCUGCCGAUGGAUGCAGCCAGUUGGCCUAUCUCUUGUGGCAUGCCUUGCAUGGUGUUUACCAUUGUUUCCAUCAUUGUUUGCAUAAUCUUUUCAAGGUGCUGAUUUGGAUUUGGAGGUGUUGGUUAGGCUUGGUUUUUUUGGUAAUUUUGGUAAUUCUGAUCAUUGUUGGCCUUUCCAUAGCUGAAGUUGGGAUGGUCUCUCCAACCUGGAUUGUAUGUAUUGGAAUAUGGAUCAUGUCUAGGCUGGUUGUUGUACCUCCCAAUUGCAUUGACUUGAUGAUUGUCUUCUUGGAGGGUAGGACAUUGAUCAAUUGGAUGUCCCACAUAUGAACAGAUACCACAUGGCCUAGAAGGCUGGGGUGCUUGAAUCUGUUGCACUACUUCUAUGGCAAUAUUUUUCAUAACAGAUGUUAGUUUGGAAAUAGUAGGAAAACUUACCUCAUUGGCUCUUUGUAGUUGUUUCUCCUCUCCAUAUUGCCUAGAUGAGGCUGCAAGAGUGGAGAUUAACUCUCUCAUCUCCCUAGGUGUCUUGUCUAUAAUGGAUCCUCCACAAGCUACAUUUAUGAAUUUUCUUUCUGAUGGGAGCAAUCCUUCAUGGAAGAAUUGUAUGAGGGCUUUGUCUGACAUAUCAUGUUGUGGACAAUCUGUACAUAGUCUUUCAAACCUUUCCCAAUAAUCAUAUAAGUCCUCAGUUUGUUUCUGUCUUAUGCUAGUGAUUUCUCUUAUUAUGCCAAUUGAUUUAGAUGGUGGGAAGUAUUUGUCCAAAAAAAUUUGGACCAUAUCAUCCUAAGAAGUGAUAGAUCCAGGUGGCAAAUAAAAUAACCAAUCCUUAGCAUAGUCAUCUAAUGAAAAGGGAAAAACUCUUAACUUAACAUGAUCUUCAGAUAUACCUUGAGGUCUCAUGGAUGAACAAACAAUAGUGAAUUCUUUCAAGUGCUUGUGUGGAUUUUCAUUUUCUCUACCUCUAAAUUUAGGAAGAAGAUGUAUCAAACCUGUCUUUAGUUCAAAGGGAACUGUAAGAGGCGGAUAGGUGAUGCAAAGUGGUGCAUGAUCACCUACAGGAGUUGCCAAUUCUCUCAUGGUUCUUUCUCUUUGUACUGGGGGCCUAAUUGCUGGAUUUUCUUGAAUGAUUUGGUUCUGGACUGCAUGUCUAUUAUUGGCAGCAACUUGUGGAUUAGGUUCAGCCAUUGGUGCGGCUUGUGGUGCGAUUGGAGCUUCUUUCGGAUGAACUGCUUGCUUUCCUAGUCUUCUGAAAGUGCGUUCUAUUUUCGGAUCGUAAGGCAGAGUAUCCCUACAUUCAGAUCUGGUCAUGAAAGAAAAAUAAAUAAGUUAAAUCAAUUCCCCGGCAAUGGCGUCAAUUUUUGACUCACGGUUGUCGAAGCCGGUCAAAAAUAACCUUUCUGGUUAUCAACAAUUUACAACUGCAGAUAGUGGUGAAAGGAUCGAAUCCACAGGGAAUUGAAUACUCACCUAUUUCUCUUUUAUGACCAGGAAAAUAAACUAAAAUGAUAAUAAACUAAAAAUGAGAUAAACUGAAAAAUGGGAUCAAAACUGUCAACAAAAUAACAGGGGGGUUUGAGAUUGAUUGUAGUAAACUAAUAAUGAGAAUAAUAAAUGAAAGCAAAUAAUUAAAUAAAAAUUAAUCAAUAAUGAGAAAGCUCUAGUUGAAGUAUUGGAUCCACUUUAGUUGUUGGGAUUGAUCACAGACACUUUGUUCUUUUGGGUUGAUUUAAUAGAUUAGUUAUGGAGAUGGAAGACGCUUCUCACCACCAUUAUCUCUCCUUAUUAUUAAAUUAAUUAGGGAACGUCCUCUAAUCAAUUACUAAUUAACAAAUUGCCAAGGAACGUCCUUGGGCCAUAGGCAUCAAAACAAUUGUCAAUUGCAUUAAGAAAUAGAGAGAUCCAAUCCUAGUUACCCAAACAUAUGGAGACAACGCUAGAUCAUGCAACUUCCUUGGUUUUUAUGCCAAGUGUUCUUAUGUAAGAAUAACCUAAGCAAUUACGGACUUAAAUCAUUCAAACUAACAAAUA